AGGUAAAGGCAUUUUUAAUCAGUGCUUAACGGCGGCGAGCGAUGUGAGACAACACUACCCUGUUGAAAUGUACGC